AGAACCCUGAGCUAGGUAAGCUGCAUCUUUUAUAACAGGCAACGUUACCACCCUUGCUCCAGGGGAGAAGACUACCUGUACCUUCUAAGACUGUUCACUACACAAACACUGGAUAGUCCAGAACAAAGGGCAGUCAGUGCCUCAGAAAUAUGAAGGUCUCAUGGAGAAUUGUUUCCCAAUUAUUAAUGGGAAAAAAAGUCUAGAAAUUCAGCUGAUUUUUAAAGUCCCUAAAAUAUUGUCCAAUUUGCCUUUUCAAAGACGGUCCAACUAGUAUUCCUUUCCACAUACUCUGCCUGCAGGUAAACUGGUCUUUUUACUUCUUGAACAUAUCCAAUAUUGACCCAACUUCUAGGUUACAGAAAACAAACAAAAACCACAAAAAACUUCUUGCAAAUAAAAAUUAACACCACAAAUCUAAAUUCAUACUUUUAUUUUGUACAUCCUUCACGGUGAUGAUUCUUUUACACUAUGCUUAUCUAGCCUUUUGACAGGUUGCCUUGAAAGUGCUUUAAAUUCUUUACCAUAUAUAUUUACUGUUUCCAAAACAAAAUAGUGAGCUUCUUGGGAGUGUAAACUAUAUUUUUCCAUGAGUCAAUAUUCCUAAUUCAAUUCCUCUUCACAAAUGCUACCUACUCACUAAUAUAUAAUGCCACUGUCUUUAAGUUCCUGAUAAAUAUAUUCUAUAUGAGGAGGGAACGAAAGAUUCCUAUUUUUCCCACUGAGAUCCAGAAUUAAACAGUCAACAGACCAAAGUAGACCUCUGUAAUUCAAAUGUCACACUGCAAUUUCAAAUUGGCAGCCUUCCUUGAGUUUCAUUUUACUUGCCAAGGAAACAAUGAAGCGCUUAUUCUGAUGCCAGCAGAACUGUGGGAAGGGACAGAGAGAUUUGUAUUUCCCUGAAUUUAUAAUCUGCAGAAGAGAACAACUACAGGAACCAAAGUGGCACAUGUUAUACGAUUACUUUAAUAAUUCUAUAAUUCUACAACUAAUUGAAUCUUGGAAAAUACAAAGUGAUGCAUAUGAUUGCAAAAAUGCUAACCAGAAGUUAUAGAAAUGAAAAGAGAGAAUAAGUCUACUCCUUUCCUCACGGCUGUCUGGUGGUUCGUGGCAGCAAUUCUUUCUGACAAAGUCCUGCAGCACCAGGACUCAAAGUUAUGACUAAAAAGAAGUCAUGUCAAUGUCAGUGACCAAAUUCUUAUUGCUGAAGUCCAAAGAUUUUCAAGGAAUGAAGCAAUUCAAGCAAGCAACUCCCCUCUGUCAAUGUGACAAGUUCCAAGUUAGAAUCAACCUUGGAUGAUUUGACCCAAACCAGAAGCUAUCUAUCCUUCAGUAGACAAUGCUGAUCUAAGCGCUGGCUCUGGAAAUUAGUUGGAUGAACUCGGUUGUCCUGCAUUUAAUUAGAGGUUUUCCUGGCUGGCCCAGGGAAUGUCACAGGGGAUAUUGUGAAAUAAAAAUGAUUCUAACUUUGAAAUCACAAGAUGAUUCCAUAAAUGAUAAGAAAAGUGAGAAGCCAAGUGAUUGAUUACACAAUUCAGAAUUAACAAUGAUGUGUAAAUCAAUACAUUGUUCAAUUACAUAUAAAAUUAACUCAGUUAUUCAAGGACCAUUUACCCACUGGAUAACCAAUAUUGGUCCUUCUCACCUUCAUUAUGUCUGUUGGCCAUUUUUACUUUUCAUUAACAAAGAGGGAGAGAGUAAGUAAAAAAUAGGGGCAUACCACUUAAAUUGAUUUAACAUUAACACUAUUUGGUACUAUUAGUAAAAAAA